GGGGGCGCUAUCGGGUUUUUGUCCGAUCACUUUUGCGACGGACAUUCACGAAUAAACAGCUUUAAUUUUAAGACUGUCUCCUGUCCUGUUUUUCAGGUAAUGUAGAUUUACUUUGUACUUUGUAUUUUCCUUUAUUUUCAUUUUUAUAUUUUGUCUAAUAGUUCAUGUUGAUAAACUAGUACAUGUUAGUAAAAAUCUCAAAUUUACAAAAUGUUACUUUUCACAAAUCUGUAGAUAAACAUAUGUUGUAUUUUAUAUUUGAAAAGUAUGUGUCAUGAAACAAAAUUAUUAAGUAGUGUUUUAUAGAGGUUUUGAAAGAAGUCAUUAAGUCGAAUUUACUGUUUUGACCUUUCCGGAUAUUUUGCAUCUAUAUUUGUACUGGUUUUCUAUUUAGUAUUCAAAACAUUGUUGUUCUAGUAAACACGCAGUCGAUUUUACUGUUUUACUCUAUUAAUUGUUUGUAAAAAGGAAAAAUGCUGAAAGUAUCUAUGUUCUAAAUCUACCCGAGGAUUUUUAUGAAGUUUAUGAAUCCAGUAAGGUUGGGUAGAUCGGACUUACCUUGGUUGACUGGAAUGUUAAAAGUAUGAAAAACUGAAAUGUGAUUUUGAAGAGAGUGAACUGUAUUCAUCUUCAACUUUAUCAACACACCAGUAAUAAUGUGUCCAGCGGGACUAAGUUGAAAGAAGAGGAAGAACAAGAACACAUAAGAGAAUUUUGUUUUAAAUGUUCAAUAUCUAGGCACUGAAAAGCUUGUUUAUAAUUGAAAAGUUUGGAAGCAACAGUUUGGGAAUAUCUGUAGGAAAAUCAGGAUGAAGACUUCAACUUGAAAUACGGUGGAAUUCAAUUGCAAUACUGAACUUUUUAUGAUUAAGAAUGUUCACAGCAUUUCUUUUGUUAGCAAAUUUAUGUUUAAGGAACCGACGAGGUCAGAAUUAUAUAUCUGCCGACACACGUGGCGGCUUAAAGAGUAUGGACUGGGCAACACCCAUAAUCACAAACACUAGUUUGUAUUCUGCAGUUGAAGGAUCCAAUUAUGGAUUUGCUUUAGCUUCUUCAAAUAGUCCAAUCAAAACUUUCAAAGGAACCGAGUAAAGUUUAGUGCGAAUGUGAUCUAAUUGUUUAUUGAUGUAAGAUUAAAGCAUAGAAAUGGAAAGAACAUUUUUAUAAAAAGAAAAGGAAACGGUUACGAAGCUUAGCUAUCAACCAAUUAUCCUAGAUCUCAGUCCUUGUGUCUUUCUUUUAUUCCUGAAACUCAAGAAACUCCUUCCAGGAAGACGCUACACUUCCAGACAUGCCCUAUAGGGAAUACCAUCAAUCGGUGUCUUUUCAGCAUUCCCAAAGAAGAGUAUGCCGAUCGAGGUGGUCCGGCCGAAUAGACUUGAGGCAUGUGUAAAGGUUAACGGAAAUAUCAAGAAACUGCUCUUCGUGUUUUCCUGUUUUCCUUAUUUUUUAUGGCCGUUUGCAGUAUCCAAUUUCAAUUUUAUUUGUUAUAUUUCAGCAAAUGGAUGGACAAUAAAGGAUUUACUAAAUAUGUUUUUAUAGCGAUUUUCGCAUUAUAGCAAAAUAAGCUUUCUUACAUUAUUAAGUCAUGUACAAAUACAAAAGAUAAUGAGAAAGAAAAAUACCAAUAAACUAGUGGGAUUUCA